CAAUAGCGUAUAUUAAAGUUGUUGUGGUUAAAAAGCUCGUAGUUGAACCUUGGGCCUGGCCGUCCGGUCCGCCUCACCGCGUGUACUGGCUCGGCCGGGCCUUUCCCUCUGUGGAACCCCAUGCCCUUCACUGGGCGUGGCGGGGAAACCGGACUUUUACUGUGAAAAAAUUAGAGUGCUCCAGGCAGGCCUAUGCUCGAAUACAUUAGCAUGGAAUAAUAGAAUAGGACGUGUGGUUCUAUUUUGUUGGUUUCUAGGACCGCCGUAAUGAUUAAUAGGGACAGUCGGGGGCAUCAGUAUUCAAUUGUCAGAGGUGAAAUUCUUGGAUUUAUUGAAGACUAACUACUGCGAAAGCAUUUGCCAAGGAUGUUUUCAUUAA
rnacentral:rRNA from 1 species